UUUUUGAACUGCGAAUCAUGUAAAAAUAUUCCAGUAGAGCCCCAGAAUAUAAAUAUAAACCUUGAAAUGAGCAUAAUUGGUCCCCUUUCAAUAAAAACAACAAAAAAAACUGUUAGUUGUUGAACUUACUAACUGCUCAACAAAAGCCCUUCCUGUUCGAUGACAUGAUACCAAAGAUUUAGAAAUCUUUAUGGAAAGAGUUUCAUCACUGACAACAGAGUCUCUGAUUUUAAGCAUAGACGUCCCCCUGGUCUGAAUUGGCUCUCUGGGAAAAAAAAAAGCUGAAAAGAAAACCUUAAAUACUGUUUACACCCCCGACUGGUGGAAGGCAGGUUCAGUGUUUUUUUUUGUUCUACCCACACGCUCUUUGGUUGAUUUUCAAAUGUGUGUUGGAGGCAAGGACACGCUUUUUUUCACAAUAGCUAAUUUAUCAGCAUGUAGUUCAUUUGUAUUGUGAGGAAACGCAACCUUUGUCUCUUUGUGUGAUAUGUGGUGUAGGUUUCUCCUUGUCUUCCUCUGCUGUGACUAUUAAAGCAUUUUAACA